AUGAUGGAUUUUGGAAGGCAUCAUUUGAGGCUUCAUCCUUUGGUGUGUAUGCAGCUUGAGGUCUCUGAAUCCCUGUGGGAGACAGAUCUUUGCUUUGUGGACGUGUGCUCCUUCUGUCCUCCCUUUGACUUUCAAAAAUGUCUAGGACUCAUGGUCAUAAGCUGUGUCGAGAUACCUGAUCAGCUGUUACAUAUCCAUUUUCACAUUCAUGAUGAUUUAGGUAUUGAUUCUCCUACCCAUUAAAAUGUAACUGAUGUCUAAAAAGACCUACGCCUACAUGAAGGUUAACGCCCUUCCCCAAAUCUCAGAUUCCCAGGUUGAAGUUUACUUACAGAGAUUAUGAAUAAAUCAAGCUGUUAAUUAAUAAAAUCA
rnacentral:lncRNA from 1 species